CGCGGCCUAUCAGCUUGUUGGUGAGGUAACGGCUCACCAAGGCAUCGACGGGUAGCUGGUCUGAGAGGACGAUCAGCCACACUGGGACUGAGACACGGCCCAGACUCCUACGGGAGGCAGCAGUAGGGAAUCUUGCGCAAUGGGCGAAAGCCUGACGCAGCGACGCCGCGUGGGGGAUGAAUGCCUUCGGGUUGUAAACCCCUUUCAGCAGGGACGAAAAUGACGGUACCUGCAGAAGAAGCUCCGGCCAACUACGUGCCAGCAGCCGCGGUAAUACGUAGGGAGCGAGCGUUGUCCGGAAUUAUUGGGCGUAAAGAGCUCGUAGGCGGUUCAGUAAGUCGGGUGUGAAAACUCAAGGCUCAACCUUGAGACGCCACUCGAUACUGCUGUGACUUGAGUCCGGUAGAGGAGUGUGGAAUUCCUGGUGUAGCGGUGAAAUGCGCAGAUAUCAGGAGGAACACCAGCGGCGAAGGCGGCACUCUGGGCCGGUACUGACGCUGAGGAGCGAAAACAUGGGGAGCAAACAGGAUUAGAUACCCUGGUAGUCCAUGCCGUAAACGUUGGGCACUAGGUAUGGGAUCAUAUCAACGGAUUCCGUGCCGUAGCUAACGCAUUAAGUGCCCCGCCUGGGGAGUACGG
rnacentral:rRNA from 1 species